UACGUAGGGGGCAAGCGUUGUCCGGAUUUAUUGGGCGUAAAGAGCGUGUAGGCGGCCAAGCAGGUCCGCUGUGAAAACUCGAGGCUCAACCUCGAGACGUCGGUGGAAACCGUCUGGCUAGAGUCCGGAAGAGGAGUGUGGAAUUCCUGGUGUAGCGGUGAAAUGCGCAGAUAUCAGGAAGAACACCUAUGGCGAAGGCAGCACUCUGGGACGGUACUGACGCUGAGACGCGAAAGCGUGGGGAGCGAACAGG
rnacentral:rRNA from 1 species